AUACUUACUUGGUGUCGGGCUUUCCGGAAAUCAAUGAGGCCGGGGUCCCAUGCUGAGGCCAUUCAUUGCACAUAGGAUGGCUGACGCACGCCACUGUCCAAAAAGGGAUGGCGGGCAUGUAAUUUUUGGUAGUGGGGCUUUGUGUUCACGCCAGCCCUAG
rnacentral:snRNA from 1 species